rnacentral:ncRNA from 1 species
AGAGCGGUAUCGUAAAGCCCGGUGACUCUGGCUGUUCGUAGAACAGCCUAGCUGCUCCUGAGAUGGAGUGGGAGAGAUUGAAAUCGGAGCCCAGGGUGAGCCGCUUU